ensembl:lncRNA
UUUGUGCGUCAACAGAGCGUUUAAUCUCAGCUCGCCCUGGGCAGGAAGGAGCCUGCUUUGGUGAAGGACUCCGGACCCGGGCGGCCAGGAGCCGGGAGGAGCGGGAGGAAGGCCGGUCCCCCCAUAACCGCCCGGCCGGCCCCUCAGACGGCAGCACGGCCCCUGCCUUCAGGAGGGCUCCAACGGCCCGCGAUUAACCCUUUGAAAACAGCAUCACUCAGUCUCAUCUUCUCUCCGUUAAAAACUGAAGCAUGUAACGCACAGGUGCUGACACACAAAAACGCUGGCCCUGACCCUCACCUUUGACCUCUGUGCCAUACCGCUGCAUCUCAGCAGAACAGGGCUUGGCGUAGCUUUUAACUUUUUGUUCUUUUUUUUCCAUUUUCUGUUCUAUAUUGUCCUAAGACUUGCUUUUUUCAUUGAACCCUCUACAUCUGGGACAUCAUUUCACGCCAGAUACAGGCAGGUCGCCCCAUUCUGUUAAUGUCCAAGUUGUGUCACACGGCCCCUGACGCACAGCGCGGAGCUGUUAUGACUGUUUGGGUCAGAAUGGCCCAUUUGUGGUCACCUUCAGUUCUCAGAACAUGGUUCCUUUGAACGUGCUCUGCAGCCUGUUUACAUGUGACACAGUGAGCUGGUUUGGGGAAAACCCAUCAGGUCUGGGCUUGUCGGGUGGGGGCAGGUCUGAGGUGCCCUGUCACCCACACACUCUAGACUGAGUCCGAGAUGGUGCUGGUGGGGAAAGUAAAAGCAGGCCCCAGCACCAUGGUCCGGGAUGUUCCCAGUUCCCAAGAGGCCACCUCCACAUCUACGGGUUCCAGAAUGUCAAACCUUCACAGCAUUGUGACUCGUUCCCAGAAUGGUGGUGCCUGGUAAUUCACAAAGCAACUCCAGGUACACCACAGUUUGUCCACAUCUCCAAAGAAAGCCCUACUCAGUCUCCCCUGAGUGAUGGAGAGCAAGCAGGCCCCCGUCAGCAGCAGGCCCUGCGCUCCGCCAGGCUGGCACAGGGAGAGUGAGGAGGGAAGGGCAGGGGCUGCCGUAAAGUCAAAAGGAACUGCCAACAAUACAGCUCUGUCUCCCAGGGGUGACUCACCAGUGAAAACAGAAGACCGGCCCACGUGCCAGCAUCUGCAGGACAGCGUCCAGGAGCGGGUGCAGCCAGCUUCAGGGGGCCAACGCUCCAGCACCUUCCUCAGGCCCCGUGAAUGGGGCCUGGUCGUCUCCCUGCAGCCUCGGUUUGGAAGCUCGUGGAAGGAACCAGGAGGUCAGAGGACAGCAGGCCAGCCCUUCCAGCCCCAGGACGGCGUUCAGAAGCUUCUAGAAGCCUCCCAGCCCUUACCUCCUGCCAAAGACCGAGCCAGUGCUGCCGGCACCCGGGCUGCCCCCACGCACUCAGGAAACAAGGAUGCCAGUGGGGUGGCAUGCCCUCCUCAGUAAUGUUCUGUGCAGCCCAUGCCGUCCUGGAGGAGCAGGGAGCUAACUGGCUGGUAGAUGCAGAGAGGCGGGGCCGUUUCUUUCUCCCACCUUUGUUCACAUGAGGGAAUUCACAAGGCCAUCCUGGAACGCUACAGUGUGCCUUGUGGAGUUGGCCAGUUCUCCCCCAGCAACUGGGUAUGUUUUUGGUGCAUAACGAGUCAUGUAAAAACCAGGACAAUGUGACCUCUGUCAGGGCUCAGCCGCGAGGGGACUGGGAGGGGAGACAGUAGGGACAGUGGCAGCUACGCCUCUAUAGAGCACGUCUGGCUGGGCGCUGUCCAGGCCCUUUGCACUUAUGAACAUUUAACUCAGAUCACGACCCCACAGAGCAGGUGCGAUGGAUCGCCAUUUUACAGAUAAGGACUCUGAGACACAGAGCCGGUGAGUAACUUGCCCAAGGUCACACAGCUAGGAAAUGGCCGAGCCGGGACUUGAACCCAGGCGACCCAGCUCCACGGCUUGUGUUCUUAACUCUGUUGGGUUUUGUGUGGUUGCCUCUAAUCCAAAGACGUUGGCAAUGGGUGGGCUCUCGGUGACAUACACCGUGGCUGACUCGUCCCCCAUUCCCAGCCUUUCCUCCAUGCCUGCAUCUACCACAGGUCCAGAAAGGCUAUUUGCUUUCCCAGGCUCCCUUGCAGUUCUGGCCAACGAGCUGGAGGCAGAAGUCAACUGGGGAGAUUGUGGGAAAGCUUUUCAUUUCCUGAUAAAAGGAGUAAAGGUAGCUGAUGCCCCCUGUGCCCUUUAUUGCUGUCUUGAAUGUGGAUGCAAUGCCUGGAGUCAUGGCAGCCAUCUCGUGAUCUGAGGGAAAGGCUAGGAGAAGCACGGACAGUGACCUGGAACGACCUCCCCAGUCCCAAGACCUCUGUUUGUAUGGGAAAAUUAAACCCUGUCUGUUUACAUCGCUGGGUUAGGGUUUCUUACAGCUAAAAAUCAUACCUAAUGUUCUUUUCUCUUUCUUCCUCUCACUUAUUCCCACUUGAAAGUGGCUGGUUGUUAAAAGUCAGCAUCUUGGAAGGAGUGAGGGACAGUGAAAGGCCGCUUUCCCAGGAUAUUCAGCGGAAUUGCAUCCUCCCGUGGCCUUUCCAGCUCCACUUAGGAGCCCCUCCCGUAGUCCACGUGUGCGUGUGGACCGCGGCUCCAGGUCCACUCUCCCCUCAAUGCUCCUAACAGCCCAGAAGGGAGGCCAG